UUCUCUGUAUCUCAUCUAACAGAUUCAUUUUUUCUUCUUCUUCUUCUCUCUGCACCAUCCAUGGCGUAAGGUCCACCAUCUCUCCCAUUUCCACCGUCUCUCACCACCACAAGUCACCUGCAAUCACGUUCGUGACUCCGCCGAACCGGGGCGUCCAAGGCCAGCCAAGCUCCGUCAAGAGAAUCCUCAACCUCUGUAUCUCGCUUUGGAGAGUCGCCGCUCAAAGUCCAAGGAAGAACACGCCCUCUACAGCGCCGGCCCAUGAGAAGAAUCAGCGCCGUCGGAGACAAACCCUAGAACCCCAUCGUCUUCCGAACGGAGGUUGAGUGGAUUCUAAGAAGCAAGGAGGUGGGGGAGACAUAAACACAGUGGAGAAAAAACAAGAAAAAAGGAGAAGAUGAAGAAGCUUAGAGGCCUCCACGACCUUUGCUAUCCAUGGCUUGACGGCGGCGUUAAGAAAAGAGGAGGCCUGGUUUUCUUACUAGGUUUAGUUUUGGUUUAGUUUUAGUUUAGUUUUGGUUUAGUUUUGGUUAGGUUUUGGUUUAUACUUUUAAUUUAUAAAUCAUAUUCUUUUUUUACAUUAAUAAAAAAAUUAAAUAUAUAAAUGAGUUUAAA